GACACAGACUCCCCACUGAGCAGAGAGCCCAGAUAUGGGGCUCCAUCCCAGGACCCCUGGGAUCAUGACCUGAGCCCAAGGCAGAUGCUUAACCCACUGAGCCACCCAGGCGCCCCUUCCGCAGACUCCCUAAGAGAAAGUGUAAAUCGCAACAAAGUAAAAUUCGAUUAGACUGAAGGGCAGAAACGACUGUGUCCUUGGGAAAUUUGGCUCAAGCCAACAGCCAGCUCAAAGGUGUCUCUAAAUGAGGCUGUGGGUCCCCUGGGGAAAGAGAAGACAUUGCUAAUUCUGUUCAGACUUGUGUUUCUCAACUCUAUCAGAGCCAAUGCCUGGUUUUUAAAACAAAUAUUUUAUUAUUUCUUUUCAACUCAAAUGAAAUUCCUCAUUAAUAUAACCUGCCUAUAUACAUAUUUUGUAAUCAAUGUCAUAGUCUAAGCAUAAGAUAAAGGGGAAAGGAAAGGAAUUUAUAAUAAAACAUUUUCAACAUGUAAAUGCUCUGGCAUGACUCAACUGGAAGAUAUAAUCGUCAUCAGAUGCUUGAACUUGGAUAUAGAAUCCCAGGGAAUGAAGCUACAGAUGCAGAGCAGCGACCGCUGUGCUGUCUGGGGGCAACCCAGACGCCACAAGACGCUUUGCCAUUGGUAAUGCAAGUCUUCAACAUGAUGCUGCAUCAGCCCAGUGACCCUGCAGUCCCCACACAAGAUGGACAUUCCCGUGAACCUAAAGAGGAAGACCUCCUGGACCACCCGUCUAUUAGAGGCUAUGAUCCCCAUGCACACCCUAAAGCAGCCGAUCACUGAUGACAGAGUGACAUGGAGACACAAAUGCCAGCCCCCUUGCCUCAAGUUGGGACUAACUCUGAGAUACAACUCGUGCUCCAGGACUCUCCACAGGCUCAGGCUGAAGAUCCUCUCCUUCCUUCCUUAGCUUUUUUUUUUCCUGCCCUGUUUCUGCACCUCACUCCCUUCUCUUAGGAGCACCUCCUCAAUAAAUUGUGUGCGUAAGGAUCUCCAUCAUAGGCUCUGCUUCGAAAACUGACCUAGUAUAGAGUCAAGAUCAAGAGAUCAGUGAGGCAACUGUUGCAAUAAUCAGUCAUCCUCAAAAGGGUAUAUUAAAAGAGCACUUACUUGGAAAUCAGAGCAUGGAGAAUCCAGUCUCCUGUCGACUACUAACUCUCUGGUUAGCCCUUCCCGGGCCUCAGUGUGCUCAUCUGUCAAAGGAAGCAGUCACACCAGAUGGGAUCCUUCUCAUUGUGAAACUUCUGUGACUAAGUGAGAGAGACACCUGCAGCCGCAUGUUUGAACUCAAAAGUGCCCCGUGAUGAGCCACUGUGCCGCUCACCACUUCUCCCACCCUGGACUUGUGUUCCUGAACAUUCAGCCUGGCAGGCUGCUUCUCAUCUGUAAGACUGACCCAUCAGAGUGCUAUGCCCUGACCGCCUUGGAGAAAGCAGCCUUUGACGGUCGCCACCUUCUCAUCCUUUCUUUCACGACCUCAACGUAUCUCAUUUAUUCAUUUAUUUAUUAUCUCUUGCUGCCUGCCCAGCCAGAACGGAAGCCCCAAGAGGACAGGGCGCUUGUCUGCCCUCUUCAGUACUUUAUCCCUGGCAACGAGCACAGUGCUCGGUAGAGUCAGUACUUAAUAAAUAUUUAUGGAUGACUAAA